GAUGAACGCUGGCGGCGUGCCUAAUACAUGCAAGUCGAGCGAACAGACGAGGAGCUUGCUCCUCUGACGUUAGCGGCGGACGGGUGAGUAACACGUGGAUAACCUACCUAUAAGACUGGGAUAACUUCGGGAAACCGGAGCUAAUACCGGAUAAUAUAUUGAACCGCAUGGUUCAAUAGUGAAAGACGGUUUUGCUGUCACUUAUAGAUGGAUCCGCGCCGCAUUAGCUAGUUGGUAAGGUAACGGCUUACCAAGGCAACGAUGCGUAGCAGACCUGAGAGGGUGAUCGGCCACACUGGAACUGAGACACGGUCCAGACUCCUACGGGAGGCAGCAGUAGGGAAUCUUCCGCAAUGGGUGAAAGCUUGACGGAGCAACGCCGCGUGAGUGAUGAAGGUCUUCGGAUCGUAAAACUCUGUUAUUAGGGAAGAACAAAUGUGUAAGUAACUAUGCACGUCUUGACGGUACCUAAUCAGAAAGCCACGGCUAACUACGUG
rnacentral:rRNA from 1 species